GAUGAACGCUGGCGGCGUGCCUAAUACAUGCAAGUCGAGCGAAAAGACGCGGCGCUUGCUCCUCUGACGUUAGCCGAGGACGGGUGAGUAACACGUGGAUACCCUCCCUAUAAGUCUGGGAUAACUUCGGGAAACCGGAGCUAAUCGCGGAUAAGAUCUUGAACCGCAUGGUUCGAUAGUGAGAGACGGCGUUGCGGUCACUUAUCGCUGGAUCCCCGCCGCAUUAGCUGGUAGGUAAGGUAACGGGUUACCACGGGAACGAUGCGUAGCCGACGUGAGAGGGGGAUCGCCCACACGGGAACUGAGACGCGGUCAAGACGCCUAAGGGACGCAGCAGUAGGGAACCGUCCGCAAUGGGCGAGAGCCUGACGGAGCAACGCCGCGCCAGUUAAGAAGGUCCUCGGAGCGUGAAACUCUGUUUUGAGUGAAGAACAAAUGUGUAAGGAAAUAUGCACGGCUUGACGGUACCGAAUCAGAAAGCCACGGCUAACUACGUG
rnacentral:rRNA from 1 species